rnacentral:rRNA from 1 species
GACGAACGCUGGCGGCGUGCUUAACACAUGCAAGUCGAGCGGUAAGGCCCUUUCGGGGGUACGACGAGCGGCGAACGGGUGAGUAACACGUGGGUGACCUGCCCUCAGCUCUGGGAUAAGCCUGGGAAACUGGGUCUAAUACCGGAUAUGACUCCAUGACGCAUGUUGUGGGGUGGAAAGCCUUGUGCGGCUGAGGAUGGGCCCGCGGCCUAUCAGCUUGUUGGUGGGGUGANGGCCUACCAAGGCGACGACGGGUAGCCGGCCUGAGAGGGCGACCGGCCACACUGGGACUGAGACACGGCCCACGACUCCUACGGGAGGGCAGCAGUGGGGAAGUCUUGCGCAAUGGGCGAAAGCCUGACGCAGCGACGCCGCGUGAGGGAUGACGGCCU